UUCUUAUCAAGAGAUGUGGAGGGACUUGGCCCUAUGAAACCUCGGCAACAGGUUUUUACUUUUGUAAAAAUACUGUGCUAAAUCCAACGAACGAAAGUUUGAAAGAUAAGAA
rfam:Bacillus sp. FJAT-27997 Scaffold1, whole genome shotgun sequence.